rnacentral:rRNA from 1 species
UACGGAGGAUCCGAGCGUUAUCCGGAUUUAUUGGGUUUAAAGGGAGCGUAGGUGGAUUGUUAAGUCAGUUGUGAAAGUUUGCGGCUCAACCGUAAAAUUGCAGUUGAAACUGGCAGUCUUGAGUACAGUAGAGGUGGGCGGAAUUCGUGGUGUAGCGGUGAAAUGCUUAGAUAUCACGAAGAACUCCGAUUGCGAAGGCAGCUCACUGGACUGUAACUGACGCUGAGGCAUGAGAGCAUGGGGAGCAAACAGG